rnacentral:rRNA from 1 species
GAUGAACGCUGGCGGCGUGCCUAAUACAUGCAAGUCGAGCGAACAGAUAAGGAGCUUGCUCCUUUGACGUUAGCGGCGGACGGGCGAGUAACACGUGGGUAACCUAUCUAUAAGACUGGAAUAACUCCGGGAAACCGGGGCUAAUGCCGGAUAACAUGUUGAACCGCAUGGUUCUACAGUGAAAGGCGGCUUUGCUGUCACUUAUAGAUGGACCCGCGCCGUAUUAGCUAGUUGGUGAGGUAACGGCUCACCAAGGCAACGAUACGUAGCCGACGUGAGGGGGUGAUCGGCCACACUGGAACUGAGACACGGUCCAGACGCCUACGGGAGGCAGCAGUAGGGAAUCUGCCGCAAUGGGCGGAAGCCUGACGGAGCAACGCCGCGUGAGUGAUGAAGGUCUUCGGAUCGUAAAACUCUGUUAUGGGGGAAGAACAAAUGCGUAAGUAACUGUACGCUUCGUGACGGUACCUAAUCAGAAAGCCACGGCUAACUACGUG